rnacentral:piRNA from 1 species
AAAAGACUGCGCUUUGACAUAGAAGACGAA